AUUAUCUCUGAUCUCUCUCAAGGCCCAAGUGACGCUAAAAUUAUCCUCACUAUUUUUGUAUGCAGAGAGCGCGAAAGCUUACCGCUGAUUUUUACGCUGCAAACCAUGGCCAGCCGAUAUUUAGUCUCUACGAAGCAUCUGGGGUCCCUGGUGAUCAAACUUCUAGAAUGCAUAGAGGUAGGCAGUAGGCUCCUUUAUGUUUGAUUGUUAUAGUACUGUCCCUCCAUGUUAGCAUCCCAACUGUUCGGUUGCUUGGCAUUUUUUUGCAAGAAAGUUAUUGCUAUGUAUGCGAGACAUGUUCUAUGCUGCAAUAUUUUCUCACGUAAAUAUGGAUUCUGUUAUGCAAUUUGUGGAUAAUGUUUAUUAUA